rnacentral:lncRNA from 1 species
AUCAGAUUCCUGAUUCUUCAGGUAAAUUACAACUAUGGAGUAAUAAUUAGUCGAGAAAAGAAAAACAUUCCAAGUGAUUCAAAAUUGUUUAACAACUCAAUGGAACUAAUACAGUUGCAAAAGAUUAAGCACUCAAAUAUGGACUAGCAUGUCUCGAAUAUAGACCAAUAUCUUCUAAAACCUAUGUUUGGAUGAGGAAAAGACUCGUUGUAUUGAACUCUACUCGAAGAGUUAGUCCCCACUUUGAAUUGCUAUCAUAGGCAGACCCACAUAUAAGAAUGUACAGGCUAAGUUUUAUUUGUAUCCUUAUUUCUAAAUAGUUUUAUUCUACAGAAAGAUUGACUGCAUUAAUAGAAAGAGUUUGUUACCACUUAUAGAUACAGAAAAUAUUCACACUAAAUACUGGAUCACUUUGUUAUAUUAUGGUAAAAAGAAAGUCCCACUAAAAUCCUUCAACAACACAUUGGGAGGUAAUUCUCUCUCAUUCCUAAUCCAUGUACUUCACAAGGUUUGAACCUAAGAUCUCUAUCCUGGAAAUCAGUUUAACUCUCUGUCAUCCUCUAACCCAUGAACUUCCCAGGGUCUAAACCUAAUAUCUCUAAAUUGGAAAUGGAUUUAACUCUGUCAUACUCUAACCCAUGAACUUCCCAGGGUCUCAACCUAAUAUCUCUAAAUUGGAAAUCGAUUUAACUCUGUCAUUCUCUAAAUUAUGUACUUCCAGGGUUUGAACCUAAGAUUUCUAAAAGUCACAUCAAAGACAUCAAUUCUAACCAAGGAAAAGAUUGACCAGAGCAAGCAGCUCUCUAAAUGAUUGCAUUUUCCAUACAAGGCAAGCUUUUUCCACCUAAUUAGAAAGAAUAAUGACUCACUUUUUCGUCUUAUUGUACUUUCACAUACUACUUUUAAUUUGCUCAUUACUUGCUAAAAGAAAAUCUACCUUAGGUAGAUGAUAUUUGACUCAAUUUUAGUAGUAGGUAUAUAGUUA